rnacentral:rRNA from 1 species
UACGUAGGUGGCAAGCGUUGUCCGGAAUCAUUGGGCGUAAAGCGCGUGUAGGCGGCCAGAAAAGUCCGCUGUGAAAACUCGAGGCUCAACUUCGAGCUGUCGGUGGAAACUUUCUGGCUAGAGUCCGGAAGAGGAGAAUGGAAUUCCUGGUGUAGCGGUGAAAUGCGCAGAUAUCAGGAAGAACACCCGUGGCGAAGGCGGUUCUCUGGGACGGUACUGACGCUGAGGAGCGAAAGCGUGGGGAGCAAACAGG